rnacentral:rRNA from 1 species
ACUACUUGGCGACCGAUAGCGCAUAGUACCGUGAGGGAAAGGUGAAAAGAACCCCGGGAGGGGAGUGAAAUAGAACCUGAAACCGUAUGUCUACAAGCAGUCGAAGCACCUUAAGAGUGCGACGGCGUGCCUAUUGAAGAAUGAACCGGCGAGUUACAUUAUGUUGCGAGGUUAAGUGGGAGACACGGAGCCGAAGCGAAAGCGAGUCUUAAUAGGGCGACUAGUAACAUGGUGUAGACCCGAAACCGCAGUGAUCUAUCCAUGGUCAGGUUGAAGCGCAGGUAAAAAUGCGUGGAGGACCGAACCCGUGAGUGUUGAAAAACUUUGGGAUGAACCGUGGAUAGGGGUGAAAUGCCAAUCGAACGCGGAGAUAGCUGGUACUCCCCGAAAUAGCUUUAGGGCUAGCCUCAGGGAAGAUUAUAGACGGUAGAGCACUGAUCUGGCAAGGGGGCGUAAAGCCUACCGACCCUAGUCAAACUUCGAAUGGCUAUAAUUAAGACCCUGGGAGUCAGACUGCGAGUGAUAAGACCCGUAGUCAAGAGGGAAACAGCCCAGACCGCCGACUAAGGUCCCCAAUGCUGUACUAAGUGGAAAAGGAUGUAAGACUUCAUAAACAACCAGGAUGUUGGCUUAGAAGCAGCCACCAUUAAAAGAGUGCGUAAUAGCUCACUGGUCGAGAGGCCUUGCGCCGAAGAUGUCCGGGGCUCAAGUACAGAACCGAAGUCGCGGCAGGAUUAUAUAAUUCUGGGUAGGGGAGCGUUGUAUAUCCGACUGAAGGUGUACCGGAAGGAGCGCUGGAGGAUAUACAAGAGAGAAUGCCGGUAUGAGUAGCGAAAAGAACAGUGAGAAUCUGUUCCACCGAAAGCCUAAGGUUUCCUGAGCAACGCUCGUCGACUCAGGGUAAGUCGGGACCUAAGCCGAGGCAAAAAGCAUAGGCGAUGGACAACAGGUUAAUAUUCCUGUACCGCUUCAAAUCGUUUGAGCAAUGGAGUGACACAGAAGGUAGCUUGAGCACGCGAAUGGAUGUGCGUGUCGAAGGUGGUAGGUUGCAGUAUAGGCAAAUCCGUACUGUAUAAGACCGAGAACUGAUAGAUAGACGAUACUUCGGUAAAGUCAAAUUCAAGUGAGCCAUGCUGUCGAGAAAAGCUUCUAGUGAGAGAUGAGGCGCCCGUACCGAAACCGACACAGGUAGGCGGGGAGAGAAUCCUAAGGUGCGCGGGACAACCCUCGUUAAGGAACUCGGCAAAUUGUAUCCGUAACUUAGGGAUAAGGAUAGCCGGAGGAUGUGAAGGGAUUUACUUCUGGAGCGUCAGCCGGUGGCACAAGAGAGGCCCAAGCGACUGUUUAGCACAAACACAGGUGCCUGCAAAAGAGAAAUCUGACGUAUAGGUGCUGACACCUGCCCGGUGCUGGAAGGUUAAGAGGAGGGCUUAGAGGCAACUCGAAGGCUUGAAUUGAAGCCCCAGUAAACGGCGGCCGUAACUAUAACGGUCCUAAGGUAGCGAAAUUCCUUGUCGGGUAAGUUCCGACCCGCACGAAAGGUGUAACGACUUGGGCACUGUCUCAACGAGGGACCCGGUGAAAUUGAAGUACCUGUGAAGAUGCAGGUUACCCGCGACUGGACAGAAAGACCCCAUGGAGCUUUACUGCAACCUGACAUUGAUGUUCGGUAAAUAACGUACAGGAUAGGUGGGAGACGGAGAAGUAUUGGCGUUAGCUGAUAUGGAGUCAACCUUGGGAUACCACCCUUUAUUUAUUGGACCUCUAACUGAAGAAGUAACGACUCUCAGGACAGUAUCAGGCGGGCAGUUUGACUGGGGCGGUCGCCUCCCAAAAUGUAACGGAGGCGCCCAAAGGUUCCCUCAGCGCGAACGGAAACCGCGCAAAGAGUGUAAAGGCAGAAGGGAGCUUGACUGCGAGUCAGACACGACGAGCAGGUACGAAAGUAGGGCUUAGUGAUCCGGUGGUUCCGAGUGGAAGGGCCAUCGCUCAACGGAUAAAAGCUACCCUGGGGAUAACAGGCUAAUCUCUCCCAAGAGUCCAUAUCGACGGGGAGGUUUGGCACCUCGAUGUCGGCUCAUCACAUCCUGGGGCUGGAGCAGGUCCCAAGGGUUGGGCUGUUCGCCCAUUAAAGUGGUACGUGAGCUGGGUUCAGAACGUCGUGAGACAGUUCGGUC